GGGGAGGAGGAGAAAUGGGUAUGAGUGAGAGAAAACAAAAAGAUGGCAAAAGGUGGCUGGUUGAGGCCUGCCUUUCCGGAAGAAGAUUUUGAAAGAGAUGGGAGAAGGCUUAGAGAGAAGGGAGUGGAGCGGGAGAAAGGGCAGAGGGCAAACUCAGGAACGUAGAGUUUAAAAAGUGGGGUUGAGGAAAUCUGUUGGUUAAAAGGCAGGCUUAGUAAUGGCCGCUCCUUCUCCCCGCAGAUCAAACUGCCCUGAGGCCUAAGAGGGAAGCGCUCGGAAAAGGAGGGGUGCUGACAGGCCAAACCCUAAACGGCGGUAGCAGCACCGCGGCGGCGGCAUCCGAGGCAUUUCUGGUGGGUGGCGCUGUCAGAAGAGUCCUGAACUUGAAAGCUGCCUGCAAGCUGCCAAGUGGCAAAGGAUCCAGGAAAAGGCACAGGAUUGGAAAGUGCUACCCAGCAAUCUGUGUAUUCUGCAAUUAAGAAGGGGGGCUGACAGUGAACUUGGCCUUGCUGCCCUAGCCCUUCACUACUCAGAACAGCAGGAGCAUCACCCGGGAAUUUGUCAGAAAUGCAGAAUCUCGGGCGCCACCCUGGACACACGUGAAUCAGAAUCUUCCUUUUAACAAGAACCUGCAGUGAUUCAUACGUACAUUAAAGUCUGAGAAGCGCUGCCUCAGAGUCCUGCUCUCAGACCUUUCUGCCCACUUUCCCUGGGGUCUCUGGACUGGUGGCAGCAAUGGUGGGAACGAGCCCAGCUCUUGUCCCUGACAGGUCUCCUUCAGGCUUCGGAACCUUUGGAAUCACCCUUCCCCGGCAGCACGGACUGGUCCUGAAGUGGCCCCAGCUCUCAAGUCUGACUAUUUGGACUGGUCAGACUCCUGGGAGGUCAGAGGAGAUGGGUGGACUGGAGGCGUUGGGGCUUGGCCAGGACUGAGAAGACACCAGACACAUCCUCUCUCCAGCACCCCCACCUGGAGUUGCAGAAACAGCCCCAGAUCAGUGACUCUCAGUGUCACUUGCUGUUCUGGACAUUUGAGUUUCUGGCGUUGGGCAGGGCAGUCCCUCCUGCUGGUGGAGGACCUGUGUGGGGGACCUGGGUGCAGUUUGAUGGGCACUAGCAGGGGAUGUUUGACACACCCAUGGUAGCUCCUUUCUCCCUGAUCAUGCUCCUCACUCCUGACCCUCUUUGGGGAACGUUUAUUCCCCAGGUGUUCAGGGACCUCCCGGGAAGGAAGAGGCAAGAGAGCAUUGUUCUUCCUUGUAGCCUGUAGACCAGAGGGGGGUUGCAUGAGGCUCCCCAGGUGUGUGGGUCAGGGUCUGCUUUAGGGCCCUGGUCCUAGUAGGAGGCCUGCCACUAAGUGACUUCCUCAGGUUUCCCCCCUCUGAGAUGCCCAAGUAAAGCCGUCAUCCCUGGCAAGCUGCCAGUCUGCCCUCUCAUUCGUUGGCCAUGCCAGGGCCUGUGUGGUGGGCCUUUGCACCCCUGCCUGUCUGUGUCAGGCCAGGCUCCUUUUUCUGGGCCAAGGGAAAUGUGAAUGUGACCCGCUGGAGGCCUGCCAGGACUGGGGCUUGCUCUCUCAUUCUGUUGUGUCACCUUUUACAGUGCCCGGCAGGCAAAUGCCAAUCUGGGGAGCUUGGCAAUUACGAUGCAAAAACAACCGAGACUGAACUCUGUAAACACCCUGGCCUCACAGUUGCUCUGCCUCUGGAAUGCUUGGGGACUGACAUAACCCUGGGGAAGAGAAAGGAGAUCUACAGCCCUCUCUGGCAAGGCCAGCGGGGCCCGGGUCACUAGGCUGUCCCUUUAGGGGUGGUCUUCUAUUGGGGGGCCUCUCAGCUGAGCCCCGUGGGCUGAUGGGAAGGCAGGUGGAGAGCUAGGCUUGGGGCAGUUGCCGUGCUUGGCUUCCUGCCCUAUGGGGAUUGUCAUCAGUCUCCAAGUGUGUUGAAAUGAGUCUUUGCACAAGCUUGAGGAGGGCCCAGCAGUUCCAGGUGACAGUGCCCAGGGCCAUGAGGAGAUGGGAGGAAAGGGGAUGGGGUGACAACAGGGAAGAAUCCCAAAGAGGGUCAAGGGGCCUCCACAGCUGCUGACUCCCCAAGCUUCUGGAUCUGGGGUUCAGCCUGCCUAUCCCUGAACCAUGUGGCUGGACCUCAGAGGCCUUCCACCCCAGGAGUCUGCGAUUCUAGGAUGCCAGGCUGAUCCCAAGGCUAGGCCACAGGGAGCCGAGACAAACUUCUCCCCAGAACUUUUUAUUGUGAGCAGUCAAUUACCCUGGCAUCUAAGGCUGCAGUGCACAAGCAAGGGGUCUUUAAUGAACGCAAAUGACAGCUGAUUAAUCUGUCUCCUCUCUGUAGGGUCUGGCCACGCUCCAUUCGGCCUCCAUGGCCUGCACCAGCAGGGUGGGCUCCAGCCUAUUACCACUGCGCUUGCAGCCCUAAUGGGGAAGAGGGGCAAGCCUCCCAGCCUGCAGUCCUGUCAUGCAUGAAGGGCUGACCCCUGCAGGAGUGGGUUUGGCCCCGCCAGACUCUCUCUCUGGGUGCUCCCCUACAGGAAGGGGGCAGCCUGCAAGGAAAGAUGCAAGCAGGUGCUCAGUGGGAUUUGUGCAAAGGGGUUACAUUUGGGAGGUAAGUGGGGGCACUGUCUAGACAACGGCAGAUGGUUUGUUUAUGUUACUUGCCGACUGUGGCCUCAAGAAACCAGCAGGUUCCUCAGAUCCUUCGCACUAUGGGAAAAGGCAGAGGGGGAAGGAUGGGGGCCACAGAGAAUCCCUCUUUCUCUGCCAGGUCACCUGCCCUGGCUCCUGGCUGAUAUCAAUGAAGUCCACAUUUACUGUUGUGCUAGGUGCCAAAUGCGGUGCAGGUGUGCGGGUGGUUUACAGUCUGACAGUAACACAAUGAAGGGGUAGUUACAGAUGUGAUGCAUGCUAGCAAGAGGAUCUACAGAGGGCAGGGAGGGCUUCCUGGAAGAAGCAGAAAGACUCCCCACCUGAUAGUGGUGCUUGGCGGGGGGAGGGGAGGGAGAACUGUGCACUGGGAUGGAGAGGCCCCUAUUUCCAGACUCUAGCUACUGGGCGUGGGCUCUUUCAGGGCCCGUAUCACCUCCUUGAGUUGAGGGAGGAGUAGGAGAGGGAGUGAGUUAGGACUGGAAUGGAGGCUACUGACCUUCUCCUGGGCAGGACCCCUGGCUGAGAAGCAGAAGCAGAGGUCCCUUCUAGGGGAGAAACCCCUCGGUUUCUACUGCAAUAAAGAAGGGGCCCCGAGCUCUCUCCUGCCACAGCCUCUAAUGAUGGGGUUGGGGUGUAAUGAACAUCUGUGUACUCAUAAAACAGCCUAAUGACC